UAGUGUGAUGUUACAUGGGAGGUGUCCUAGUGUGAUGUUACAUGGGAGGUGUCCUAGUGUGAUGUUACAUGGGAGGUGUUCUAGUGUGAUGUUACAUGGGAGGUGUUCUAGUGUGAUGUUACAUGGGAGGUGUCCUAGUGUGAUGUUACAUGGGAGGUGUUCUAGUGUGAUGUUACAUGGGAGGUGUCCUAGUGUGAUGUUACAUGGGAGGUGUCCUAGUGUGAUGUUACAUGGAAGGUGUCCUAGUGUGAUGUUACAUGGGAGGUGUUCUAGUGUGAUGUUACAUGGGAGGUGUUCUAGUGUGAUGUUACAUGGGAGGUGUCCUAGUGUGAUGUUACAUGGGAGGUGUUCUAGUGUGAUGUUACAUGGGAGGUGUUCUAGUGUGAUGUUACAUGGGAGGUGUCCUAGUGUGAUGUUACAUGGGAGGUGUCCUAGUGUGAUGUUACAUGGGAGGUGUCCUAGUGUGAUGUUACAUGGGAGGUGUCCUAGUGUGAUGUUACAUGGGAGGUGUUCUAGUGUGAUGCUACAUGUGAGGUGUUUUAGUGUGAUGCUACAUGGGAUGUGUCCUAGUGUGAUGUUACAUGAGAGG
rnacentral:lncRNA from 1 species